AGUGAACGCUGGCGGUAUGCCUAACACAUGCAAGUCGAACGGCAGCACAGUAAGAGCUUGCUCUUACGGGUGGCGAGUGGCGGACGGGUGAGGAAUACAUCGGAAUCUACUUUUUCGUGGGGGAUAACGUAGGGAAACUUACGCUAAUACCGCAUACGACCUACGGGUGAAAGCAGGGGAUCUUCGGACCUUGCGCGAUUCAAUGAGCCGAUGUCGGAUUAGCUAGUUGGCGGGGUAAAGGCCCACCAAGGCGACGAUCCGUAGCUGGUCUGAGAGGAUGAUCAGCCACACUGGAACUGAGACACGGUCCAGACUCCUACGGGAGGCAGCAGUGGGGAAUAUUGGACAAUGGGCGAAAGCCUGAUCCAGCCAUGCCGCGUGAGUGAAGAAGGCCUUCGGGUUGUAAAGCCCUUUUGUUGGGAAAGAAAAGCAGCAGGUUAAUACCCCGAUGUUCUGACGGUACCCAAAGAAUAAGCACCGGCUAACUUCGUG
rnacentral:rRNA from 1 species